UACGGAGGGGGCUAGCGUUGUUCGGAAUUACUGGGCGUAAAGCGCACGUAGGCGGCUUUGUGAGUUAGAGGUGAAAGCCCGAGGCUCAACCUCGGAACUGCGUCUGAAACUACUCGACUAGAGUACUGGAGAGGGUAACGGAAUUCACGGUGUAGCAGUGAAAUGCGUAGAUAUCGUGAGGAACACCAGAGGCGAAGGCGGUUACCUGGACAGGUACUGACGCUCAGGCACGAAAGCAUGGGGAGCAAAAGGG
rnacentral:rRNA from 1 species